rnacentral:rRNA from 1 species
GACGAACGCUGGCGGCGUGCCUAAUACAUGCAAGUAGAACGCUGAAGGAGGAGCUUGCUUCUCUGGAUGAGUUGCGAACGGGUGAGUAACGCGUAGGUAACCUGCCUGGUAGCGGGGGAUAACUAUUGGAAACGAUAGCUAAUACCGCAUAAUAGUAGAUGUUGCAUGACAUUUGCUUAAAAGGUGCAAUUGCAUCACUACCAGAUGGACCUGCGUUGUAUUAGCUAGUUGGUGGGGUAACGGCUCACCAAGGCGACGAUACAUAGCCGACCUGAGAGGGUGAUCGGCCACACUGGGACUGAGACACGGCCCAGACUCCUACGGGAGGCAGCUGUAGGGAAUCUUCGGCAAUGGACGGAAGUCUGACCGAGCAACGCCGCGUGAGUGAAGAAGGUUUUCGGAUCGUAAAGCUCUGUUGUAAGAGAAGAACGAGUGUGAGAGUGGAAAGUUCACACUGUGACGGUAUCUUACCAGAAAGGGACGGCUAACUACGUG